CCUACGGGAGUCAGCAGUGGGGAAUAUUGCGCAAUGGGCGAAAGCCUGACGCAGCGACGCCGCGUGAGGGAUGAAGGUCCUCGGAUCGUUAACCUCCGUCAGCAGGGAAGAACGGUCACUGUGCUAAUCAGCAGUGAAUUGACGGUACCUGCAAAGGAAGGACCGGCUAACUCCGUGCCCGCAGCCGGGGUAAUACGGAGGGUGCGAGCGUUAAUCGGAAUUAUUGGGCGUAAAGCGCUCGUAGGCGGUAUGUCAAGUAAAGGGGGAAAUCCCCGCGCUCAACGUGGGAACUGCCUUUGAAACUGGCAAACUGGAGUGUGUGAGAGGAAAGUGGAAUUCCAGGUGUAGGAGUGAAAUCCGUAGAUAUCUGGAGGAACAUCAGUGGCGAAGGCGACUAUCUGGCACACAACUGACGCUGAGGAGCGAAAGCGUGGGUAGCGAACAGGAUUAGAUACCCGGGUAGUC
rnacentral:rRNA from 1 species